rnacentral:tRNA from 1 species
GUUUUUAUAGUUGAAAACAACAUUGAUUUUUCAUAUCAAAGGUUUUGGUUAAAUCCCAAAUAAAAAUA